GAACUAUUUCAUCAUCGUGUUCGGCUUUUGGCAGUGCCUUUAUGUGUUUAUCCCUUUAUACAGACAUUACGACCGGAAAGAGGCAUCUCUCAAAUAUUUCAGCUAUUCUUUGCAUACUAGUCUACAUUGACCAGGUGCAGAUGACAUCCUAGACAGGACAUCACCUUGACCAAGCCAGGUAUACCUAGAGCACAACCUAGAAGCAAACUAAGGAUGUGUUACUCUUCUCCGCUGCACUUGGUCUCCUGCUUCUGGAGUACACUAGUUGCAAAACUCCUUUUCAGGUCUUUUCUGUGUCAUUAGAACAUCCUUUCUGUUCCUGGACCAAAUUAUUUAAUUAUUUCAUAUGAAGUGGAGCAGCUUUAACAGAGAUGAAUGAAAAUUUCUAUUUUAGAAUACUCAGAAUUACCUGUCCAGCUAUUUUUCUCAUGUGCUUUAAGCCUGGCAUUUCUUAGUCACUGUAAAAGCUGAUUGAUUUGACUCUGUUCUAUCUCUCUGUGUACAAGUGUUUAAUCCAAAGCUGCCUUGCUACCCUCUUGUAUUGGAUAUUUUCUCAUCUGUGUUGUGUAUUCUGAAUUAUAAUAUGAAUAUGGAGGGUUGAAUAUAAAUA